rnacentral:rRNA from 1 species
AACGCGAAGAACCUUACCUGGACUAGAAUGUGAGGGAAUGUCGGUUAACGCCGUCAGUCCGGGAAACCGGACCCAAAACAAGGUGCUGCAUGGCUGUCGUCAGCUCGUGUCGUGAGAUGUUGGGUUAAGUCCCGCAACGAGCGCAACCCUUAUCAACAGUUGCCAUCAUUAAGUUGGGAACUCUGUUGAGACUGCCGUUGAUAAAACGGAGGAAGGUGGGGAUGAUGUCAAGUCAUCAUGGCCUUUAUGUUCAGGGCUACACACGUGCUACAAUGGCCGGUACAAAACGUCGCGAUCCCGCAAGGGGGAGCUAAUCGCAAAAACCGGUCUCAGUUCGGAUUGGAGUCUGCAACUCGACUCCAUGAAGUUGGAAUCGCUAGUAAUCGCAAAUCAGCAUGUUGCGGUGAAUACGUUCCCGGGUCUUGUACACACCG